GCCACAAGUCCCCUUUUCAGCUUCUGAUUGAAUGAACUGAUUUCAAUCUAAGUUAAAUCAUUGAAUGGGCUGGGCACAGUGGCUCAUGCCUGUAAUCCCAGCAGUUUGGGAGGCCGAGGCAAGUGGAUCACCAGAUCAAGAGAUCGAGACCAUCCUGGUCAACAUGGUGAAACCCCGUCUCUA